rnacentral:rRNA from 1 species
GAUGAACGCUGGCGGCGUGCCUAAUACAUGCAAGUCGAGCGAACGGACGAGAAGCUUGCUUCUCUGAUGUUAGCGGCGGACGGGUGAGUAACACGUGGAUAACCUACCUAUAAGACUGGGAUAACUUCGGGAAACCGGAGCUAAUACCGGAUAAUAUUUUGAACCGCAGGGUUCAAAAGUGAAAGACGGUCUUGCUGUCACUUAUAGAGGGAUCCGCGCUGCAUUAGCUAGUUGGUAAGGUAACGGCUUACCAAGGCAACGAUGCAUAGCCGACCUGAGAGGGUGAUCGGCCACACUGGAACUGAGACACGGUCCAGACUCCUACGGGAGGCCGCAGUAGGGAAUCUUCCGCAAUGGGCGAAAGCCUGACGGAGCAACGCCGCGUGAGUGAUGAAGGUCUUCGGAUCGUAAAACUCUGUUAUUAGGGAAGAACAUAUGUGUAAGUAACUGUGCACAUCUUGACGGUACCUAAUCAGAAAGCCCCGGCUAACUACGUG